UCAAAUAUAGUGGCAAGAGUAUGUAUAACAAAGCAAAAAAUUGAAACCUGGAAAGUAACUCAAAAAAGCUGAUGUGUAUUCAAGUGAUGAUGCUUCCUUUACACAAGCUAUAAGGAUGUAAUGAAAUUAUGGUGAAAGAUUUAACUUACAUGGACCAGAUUCAAUAGCAUCUUUAAAUAUAAGGAAUGUGUAUCAUGUAGUGGAGUUUUGGUGUAAGUGUUCUGUCUGGAUAACACUCAAGGAAUGUUGAAUGGUGUUGAUGAAUCAAUUGACUGAAAUAUGUCUCUGGGAGUGGUUUUGGGUGAUCGCUAACAUCAUUACCAUAAGGAAGUGAUAAAAUUCUCUCAUUUAACACUGGCAAGCUGAUUAUCUUAUCAUUAAUAAGAGCAGUUGUUGAAACAUGAUCAUGGAGGGGUCCUUGCAACAAGCGAAUAUGAUGGCUAUGUGUUUCUUUAGUGCGAGGUUCAAACUCUUCAGCAAAAAACUAAUACAUUGGAGAGAUUGAAACAGCGGUAUAUCAUAGCAACACUCAUAAUUAAUAUGUGAACCGAGAGAUGAUGACUGGACUAAAUUUCUUCCCAAUACACGUUCAACUGGCUCCUAUAUGUACAAGCAAUUUAAAUUAGUUUAUUGACGAUUAUUAUUAUUAUUGACUCACUAAUAGAGAUAAAUGUUUUUUAAAGUACUGAUUUUGUUUAUAUUCCGUCUCCAGGUCAUCAAAAGGACAUUGCAUUUCUUUAAAAAUGGUACUUGUUUCUGAGAUUACUGCCUGAGACACAUCAUUAUCCUUCAAUACUUUCAUUACUUUUGCCUUAACUAAUUCUAUAUUUUGUUCAUGGAACAUCGUUACACCUG